rnacentral:piRNA from 1 species
UGUUAAAUACUCUCUGAAGCUUCCCAUGG